rnacentral:rRNA from 1 species
CAGUAGCCGCGGGAAUACGAAGGGGGCUAGCGUUGUUCGGAUUUACUGGGCGUAAAGCGCACGUAGGCGGACUUUUAAGUCAGGGGUGAAAUCCCGGGGCUCAACCCCGGAACUGCCUUUGAUACUGGAAGUCUUGAGUAUGGUAGAGGUGAGUGGAAUUCCGAGUGUAGAGGUGAAAUUCGUAGAUAUUCGGAGGAACACCAGUGGCGAAGGCGGCUCACUGGACCAUUACUGACGCUGAGGUGCGAAAGCGUGGGGAGCAAACAGGAUUAGAGACCCCUGUAGUCCCUGUCUCUUAUAA